rnacentral:rRNA from 1 species
UUAGAAGACAAGCUAACCCCUGAACGCGCCUGAUCUCGUCUGAUCUCGGAAGCUAAGCAGGGUCGGGCCUGGUUAGUACUUGGAUGGGAGAAGACAAGCCAACAUCUGGG